rnacentral:rRNA from 1 species
GGGUCAGUAGGUUGGUCGUGCCCCCGGUACGUACUGGUCUCACUGAUUCCUCCUUCCUGAAGAACCGUAAUGCCAUUAAUUUGGUGUUGCGGGGAAACAGGACUGUUACUUUGAAAAAACUAGAGUGUUUAAAGCAAGCUAACGCUUGAAUACAUUAGCAUGGAAUAAUGAAAUAGGACGAUCGAUCCUAUUUUGUUGGUUUCUAGGAUUGACGUA